rnacentral:rRNA from 1 species
CGCCUGUUUAUCAAAAACAUGUCUUUUUGAGUUAAUUUUAAAGUCUGACCUGCCCACUGAAGUUUUUAAAUGGCCGCAGUAUCCUAACUGUGCAAAGGUAGCAUAAUCAUUAGUCUUUUAAUUGAAGGCUGGUAUGAACGGUUGGACGAGGUAUAAGCUGUUUCAUAUAAAUUUAUAAUAGAAUUUUAUAUUUUAGUCAAAAAGCUAAAAUGUUAUUAAAAGACGAGAAGACCCUAUAAAUCUUUAUAUUUUUUUUUGUUUAAAUUUUUUGGAUUUAUUUUAUUUUUAUAAUAAAAAAUAUUUUGUUGGGGUGAUGUUAAAAUUUAAUGAACUUUUAAUUGAAAAAAAUCAUUAAUUUAUGAAUUGUUGAUCCAUUAGUAGUGAUUAUAAGAUUAAGUUACUUUAGGGAUAACAGCGUAAUUUUUUUGGAGAGUUCAUAUCGAUAAAAAAGUUUGCGACCUCGAUGUUGGAUUAAGAUAUAAUUUUAGGUGUAGCC